UUUCCACCUCUGUUAUUCUUCUUUUUUUAAUAUUUUUUUUAUUUCAUUAAUUUUUCGGACUAAAAAUAAAUCAAAUUACAAAUACACAAAUGGCCACAAACUUCUCUUUCAUCCUCCUCGCCAAAACACUCCUCUCUGCCGCCACCUCUGUCAUCAAAUACGAAAAUCUCCCCAAUUUAAAAUUCGCAUCUGCAUUAAUUACCUGAUUCCUCCUUCACCUUAUUCAUCGCCGGCGCCGCUACUGCUCCAUUAAAUGCACAGUCAAAAUAGAAAAUGGUCCUCGCAAUAUCUUCGACUGAUUUUUUUUCCUCUUGGGUUAAUUGCGUUUCGGAAUUGAAAUUUGAUGGGAUUAUUUGGGGGAUUUUGAGGUGGCUUUGGAUGGGGAACGAUGAAGAAUGAUAUGUCUGAUUUGGGGUGUGAUUUGUAAGAGGAAUACAACUCCAUGACAAAACGAUUUAAAUAUGGUGUAUCUUGGACGGUUGUGGAAAUAACAUUGUGAAAUAAGAUUUUUUUCGAACACAAUUGUUGUGGAAGAGGGCCGCCAUUAACAAGGUUGUUGCAGGGUUAUGCAAAAUUGAGUUUUGGGU
rnacentral:lncRNA from 1 species